rnacentral:rRNA from 1 species
UACGAAGGGGGCUAGCGUUGUUCGGAAUCACUGGGCGUAAAGCGCACGUAGGCGGAUUGUUAAGUCGGGGGUGAAAUCCUGAGGCUCAACCUCAGAACUGCCUUCGAUACUGGCAAUCUCGAGUCCGGAAGAGGUUGGUGGAACAGCUAGUGUAGAGGUGAAAUUCGUAGAUAUUAGCUAGAACACCAGUGGCGAAGGCGGCCCAACUGGUCCGGUACUGACGCUGAUGCGCCGAAAGCCAGGGGAGCAAACGGG